GUCUUUUUGAUUAUAAUUUAAAGUCUGACCUGCCCACUGAUUUAUUAAAUGGCCGCGGUAUUUUGACCGUGCAAAGGUAGCAUAAUCAUUAGUUUCUUAAUUAGAAACUGGUAUGAAUGGUUGGACGAGGAAAGAGCUGUCUCAAUUUAAAUUUAUUAUAAUUUUAUUUUUAAGUUAAAAAGCUUAAAUAAUUUUAAAAGACGAGAAGACCCUAUAGAGUUUUAUAUUUAAUUUAUUUUUAAGUAUUUAGAAUUUUUAUCUUAUUAUUAAAUAUAAUAUUUUGUUGGGGCGAUAGAAAAAUUAAAUUAACUUUUUUUAAUUAUUUACAUUUAUUUAUGAGUUUAUGAUCCAUUAAUUAUGAUUACAAGAUUAAGUUACCUUAGGGAUAACAGCGUAAUUUUUUUAAAGAGUUCAAAUCGAUAAAAAAGAUUGCGACCUCGAUGUUGGAUUAAAAUUUAUAUUUGGUGUAGCAGCUAAAUAACUAGGUCUGUUCGACCUUUAGAAUUUU
rnacentral:rRNA from 1 species